GUCUAGGCCACAGACACACGGAGCGCUGAGGACAAGGUAACCAUAAAAUGUUGCUGUUUCUGUUAAGAACACUCUAGUCCUAAUGAUCUACAAGUGUCCAGAAGUUAUCGCAGGUAAGCUCACACGGAAAAAGGGAAAAAAUCAGCAUAAACAGUGUUUAGUGUUCUGAGUGAAGAGGAGGCUGGGGAGCUAGCCCUCGGGUUUGCCGGAAGAUUGGCCUGCGAUGUCACAACAGACAUGGUCUGUAAAGGCAUCGACCAUUCAAGUGCUGAUAUGACAAAACAGACUCUUCUCAAAAUCCAACACAAUCUUAAACAUGAGCUGACUGAUUCCUCAACCUUCAGUUUGCUGACACACACCUUUGGCCCCGCUGCACUGGAUUCUGUCAUUUCAUUCCUGUGUGAAAAACUUGAUCUUGUCUCUUAAAUAAUGAAACCUUUUGUGACUUUUGUUUGUUCUGUAAAUCAGAAUCUUGAAAAUUGUUCAUUGUUGUUCUAAGUUUGUGUUAACUAUUUGGCAAAAAUGAUUGGUUCCUAAUCCAAACAGCAUAAUGACUGUUCUAACACAUAUCUUAAAAAUGCUACAAAGAAAGAAAAUUAUCACAUAUGUUUCAAUAUGAAUGUAAUUGUGUCACACUCGGUUUGUAGUAGCUUUCCUGUUUUAUUUUGAGUUUUGGUAUGUUUACACUGUUAUUUUUAUUUCCCGUGUGUUCGUCUUCCCUUAUUAGUUUUACUGUAUUUAAUUAGUCUGAUUUAAUAACUUAUAAUUAUUUACUUUCCAGUGUGUAUAUAUGCUCCUCGUUUGGAUUAUUGUUUGUUUGAGUUCUGCCUGUCUUUUCUAUUAAAGAUUUGGACUAUUA